rnacentral:rRNA from 1 species
GAUGAACGCUGGCGGCGUGCCUAAUACAUGCAAGUCGAGCGAACAGACGAGGAGCUUGCUCCUCUGACGUUAGCGGCGGACGGGUGAGUAACACGUGGAUAACCUACCUAUAAGACUGGGAUAACUUCGGGAAACCGGAGCUAAUACCGGAUAAUAUAUUGAACCGCAUGGUUCAAUAGUGAAAGACGGUUUUGCUGUCACUUAUAGAUGGAUCCGCGCCGCAUUAGCUAGUUGGUAAGGUAACGGCUUACCAAGGCGACGAUGCGUAGCCGACCUGAGAGGGUGAUCGGCCACACUGGAACUCAGACACGGUCCAGACUCCUACGGGAGGCAGCAGUAGGGAAUCUUCUGAAAUGGGCGAAAGCCUGAAGGAGCAACGCCGCGUGAGUGAUGAAGGUCUUCUGAUCGUAAAACUCUGUUAUUAGGGAAGAACAAAUGUGUAAGUAACUAUGCACGUCUUGACGGUACCUAAUCAGAAAGCCACGGCUAACUACGUG